rnacentral:lncRNA from 1 species
CACACACGUUUCUUCCUACCUCAGCAAGAAAGUUUGAGGUCCCCACAGUUUCUGCGCACAUCAGGGCGACAAACGUGGACACUGUCUGGUUCACCUUUCAACUCCAAGGCCUACUCUGGGACUUCCAGGGUAGGUGUCAAAAUCGUAUUUUAAGACAAAUGCUUAAUGGCUCCAUUUCAGACAUUCCACAAUUCUCCCUCACACCCUAGGCAAGCUUAGUACAGAAAAGUCUCCGCGGAGAAGUGGAAAGGUGACAGGUUUAGGUUAUCUGUGAAUGUUUAACUGAAGGACUGUGGAUUCAUAACUCCUUUGUAUUUUUUUUUUUAAGACGGGGUUUCACCAUGUUGGUCAGGCUGGUCUUGAACUCACAACCUCCGGUGAUCCGCCCACCUUGGUCUCCAAAGUGCUUGGAUUACCAUGCCCGGCCGAUUCAUGACUCCAUUGGCUUCACACAGGUCCAGCAUGAGAAGAGCAGAAUUAAUUGUGUUGUUCCAGAGGAGCAUUCUUCAAAGCCAUCUGCUAUCAGCUGGGAGUGAGGAUUUCAGAGUCGAUCAAGGUUUCUGCCAAUGGUUGACUUAACUCAUCUGGAAUAAAAUGUGCAUAAAUGCUGGAUAAAUUUUAAAACAUACUUUUAAAUGCAUGGCAGCUCUUACCAGGAGAUAAGAGAAAUACUCUGGCGCCAAGAAUCAAGCAAGAGCAAGAAUCCCAGGAGAUAAACAAACGCAGAGGCUGUCAGCUGACUUGGGCAGUCUGCCCCUCACAGGAGGCCGGCCCUUUGUUUGAACAGCAACAAGCGUUGGCAUGGCUCCUGCAGACGGAGAACUAAGCAGGGAAAGCUGCAUUUCCAGUUAUCAAAAUAUUAUAAAGGUAUAAUAAGAAUGGUCAUAAGAGUGAGGUUUCAGCAUAGAAAGAGAGAAAAAGUAUCAAGUAGUGGAACGUAAGGAAAACCUAAGAUUCUGAUCCACAGAAACAGGAUGGGGCCAUUUAAUAUCUGAUGAGAGAGCAGCACACACACCUGCGUCACCCAGUCCACCUUAGUGGAUUACAGGAUUCAAAGCAAACGUUACAUGUUUAGAAGUACAUAGGAGAGUGCAUCCUUGGGAGUUCGGGGUCAGCAAAGAUUUUUUUCAAGAAAAUAUAAAAAAUAGGCCAGGUGCGGUGGCUCACGCCUGUAAUCCGAGCACUUUGGGAGGCCGAGGUGGAUGGGUCGUGAGGUCAAAAGAUUGAGACCAUCCUGGCCAACAUGGUGAAACCCUGUCUCUACUAAAAAAUGCAAAAAUUAGCUGGAUGUGGUGGCGCGUGCCUGUAAUCCCAGCUACUCCGGAGGCUGAGGCAGGAGAAUUGCUUGAACCCAGGAGGCGGAGAUUGCAGUGAGCCGAGAUUGCACUACUGCACUCCAGCCUGGCGCCUGGCAAUAGAACAAAACUCUGUCUCAAAAAAAAAAAAAAGAAAAUAUAAAAAAUAU